GGGUGCAGCCUGAGGUUCCCCAUCAAGCCCUGCUAGGCAGGGGGGCAUGGCCUGAAGUCCCCCAUCAAGCCCCGCCAGGCGGGGG